rnacentral:tRNA from 2 species
GGCCACGUGGCGGAAUUGGUAGACGUGCUACCUUGAGGGGGUAGUGUUCUUAUGAACGUGCUGGUUCGACUCCAGUCGUGGUCACAA